rnacentral:rRNA from 1 species
UUGGAGGGCAAGUCUGGUGCCAGCAGCCGCGGUAAUUCCAGCUCCAAUAGCGUAUAUUAAAGUUGUUGCAGUUAAAAAGCUCGUAGUUGAACUUCGGGGUUCACCCAUUGGUCAGGCUUAAUUGUCUGUACUGGUGAGAUGAGUCUCUACCUUCUGAGGAACUUUCAUGCCAUUUAUUUGGUGUGGUUGGAAAUCAGGACUGUUACUUUGAAAAAAUUAGAGUGUUUAAAGCAGACUAACGUCUGAAUACAUUAGCAUGGAAUAAUGAAAUAGGACGGAUUGAUUCUAUUUCGUUGGUUUCUAGGGUCACCGUAAUGAUUAAUAGGGAUAGUUGGGGGCAUUAGUAUUCAAUUGUCAGAGGUGAAAUUCUUGGAUUUAUUGAAGACUAACUACUGCGAAAGCAUUUGCCAAGGAUGUUUUCAUUAAUCAAGAACGAAAGUUAGGGGAUCGAAGACGAUCAGAUACCGUCGUAGUCUUAACCAUAAACUAUGCCGACUAGGGAUCGGACGAAGUUAAUUUUAUAAUGACGUGUUCGGCACCUUACGGGAAAC